rnacentral:rRNA from 1 species
ACACGUAGGGGGCGAGCGUUGUUCGGAAUCAUUGGGCGUAAAGCGCGCGCAGGCGGCCAUGUAAGUCAGGUGUAAAAUGGUCAGGCUUAACAUGAGCAUGCGCUGUAAACUGUGUGGCUUGAGUCAACGAGGUGAUGCCGGAAUUCCCGGUGUAGGGGUGAAAUCUGUAGAUAUCUGGAAGAACACCAAUUGCGAAGGGAGGCAUCGGGCGACUGACUGACGCAUAGGCGAGAAGGUGCGGGGAGAAAACAGGUAUAGAUACCGUGGUAGUCCGCACAGUAAACGAUGUGCAGCAGGUGGCGGGCAGCAGUGCUCGGUACCGAAGCAAACGCAUUAAGUGCACCGCCUGGGGAGUAUGCUCGCAAGGGUGAAACUCAAAGGGAUGGACGGGG